UUGUCUAAUCAAAAGGUACCUUCUCUGUUUCAAUGUAUUUGGUUGGAUGAAUCAGAUUUCUGGUGUAUCUUCACUCUUUAUUAAGAGAAACAUGGUUCGGCAUUAAUUUCAGCACUUGGAGCCUGGUUAUGACCUGUAGUAAGAGAAUUUAUUUUCCUAAUGCUCAUCUGCACUCUUUAGGAUCAUCUAAUAACUGACCUUAAUGAAUUCCUAACUUAAUCUUGGAACCAUGGGAGUAUCAUUAUAUUUGGACCUCUGUACCCUAUCUCAAACUUCCUCUAAGACUUCAGUAUCUUUGCUGUGUGUUGAAGUUUCUUUAAAGUAGUGGAUUUGGAUUUGAGAAUGAACUUCAAAUCCAUGGUUCAAAAUAAAGGUAAGCUUAUGACCUAGAAUAAAGGACACCCCUUAUUCGAGGCUUCCAAAUGGAACAACUCAACGUGGUCAAUUUGGAAUUACAAGUCUUCUGUUGGAAACAUGGAUGAAACAAUCAUCAAGAGGACUCAUCUUAGGUCAGGAAAUAUCAUGACUUCAUGAGCGAGGUGGAUGUCAAUUAAUAUCAUCACGAAUAUAAAUUGGAGAAAGAAAACUCAAGAUCACAUAAAAUAGAUGUGAAGACGGCUUAGUUAGAUAUCUACUCCCGAAAUUUCAGCUUAAAUGGACACAGAUAAACCUUUUGAUUACCUCUAGGAAAGUGCUGGCCAAGACCCUUUUUUAUUACUUUCUGCCUACAGUUGUUUCAAGCUCUUUACCUCACUCUGUUGGCUGCUUACUACAAACCAUAGAAUGAACACUUUUAAGUCUUCUCGUCAAUGCUCACUUCAUUGGUAUGUAAUGCCACUAAGAAAUAAAAUCCAUUUCUUCUUCGUUUUAUUUAUGUUUACAAAUUAUAAUUCUUAAAAGCGCUUUAGCUUUUCUCUGGUUCUUAAUUUCAGAGCUUAUUCCCCCCUUUAUUUUUGUAUUUGCCCUUGUAUUGGAUGUUUCAUUCACUACUAAUUGUUAAUUUUUAGAAAGACUAAGCUCGAAAGCAAGUUAUUGUUCAUAAUUUUUUAUUUUCAUCCAUGUUUGGAUAAGAUAUUUUUUCUUACUUUUAAGUAAAAAAUAGUUAUUUUGGAAGUUCUCUUAUGUUACUGGUAAAUAAGUAACUAAUUUCUAACCUUG
rnacentral:lncRNA from 1 species